UACGGGGGGGGCAAGCGUUGUUCGGAAUUACUGGGCGUAAAGGGCUCGUAGGUGGCCAACUAAGUCAGACGUGAAAUCCCUCGGCUUAACCGGGGAACUGCGUCUGAUACUGGAUGGCUUGAGGUUGGGAGAGGGAUGCGGAAUUCCAGGUGUAGCGGUGAAAUGCGUAGAUAUCUGGAGGAACACCGGUGGCGAAGGCGGCAUCCUGGACCAAUUCGUGACACUGAGGAGCGAAAGCCAGGGAGCAAACAGG
rnacentral:rRNA from 1 species